GACGAACGCUGGCGGCGUGCUUAACACAUGCAAGUCGAACGGUGAAGCGCCUUCCUUUUUGGUGGGUGUGGAUGAGUGGCGAACGGGUGAGUAACACGUGAGUAACCUGCCCCCUUCUUCUGGAUAACCGCAUGAAAGUGUGGCUAAUACGGGAUAUUCUGGGUCUGUCGCAUGAUGGGUCUGGGAAAGAUAUUGUUUCGGUGGGGGAUGGGCUCGCGGCCUAUCAGCUUGUUGGUGGGGUGAUGGCCUACCAAGGCGGUGACGGGUAGCCGGCCUGGGAGGGUGGCCGGUCACACUGGGACUGCGACACGGCCGAGACUCCUACGGGAGGCAGCAGUGGGGAAGAGGGCACAAUGGGCGCAAGCCUGAUGCAGCGACGCCGCGUGAGGGAUGGAGGCCUGCGGGUUGUGAACCUCUUUCGCCAGUGAAGCAGGCCUGCCUCGUUUGUGGGUGGGUUGACGGUAGCUGGAUAAGAAGCGCCGGCUAACUACGUG
rnacentral:rRNA from 1 species